rnacentral:rRNA from 1 species
UUUCAUGAGAGUUUGAUCCUGGCUCAGGACGAACGCUGGCGGCGUGCCUAAUACAUGCAAGUCGAACGAACCGCAACUUGAACUUGUUCUGGUUAAGGUUAGUGGCGCACGGGUGAGUAACACGUGGGGAACCUGCCCUUUAGUGGGGGAUAACAGUCGGAAACGACUGCUAAUACCGCAUAGACAACUUAACCGCCUGGUUAAGUUGGGAAAGGUGCUACGGCAUCAUUAAAGGAUGGCCCCGCGGUGCAUUAGCUAGUUGGUAAGGUAACGGCUUACCAAGGCGAUGAUGCAUAGCCGACCUGAGAGGGUGAUCGGCCACAUUGGGACUGAGACACGGCCCAAACUCCUACGGGAGGCAGCAGUAGGGAAUCUUCCGCAAUGGACGCAAGUCUGACGGAGCAACGCCGCGUGUGUGAAGAAGGUUUUCGGAUCGUAAAGCACUGUUGUUAGAGAAGAACGGCUACUAGAGGAAAUGUUAGUAGAUUGACGGUAUCUAACCAGAAAGCCACGGCUAACUACGUGCCAGCAGCCGCGGUAAUACGUAGGUGGCAAGCGUUGUCCGGAUUUAUUGGGCGUAAAGGGAGCGCAGGUGGUUUCUUAAGUCUGAUGUGAAAGCCCACGGCUUAACCGUGGAGGGUCAUUGGAAACUGGGGAACUUGAGUGCAGAAGAGGAAAGCGGAAUUCCAUGUGUAGCGGUGAAAUGCGUAGAUAUAUGGAGGAACACCAGUGGCGAAAGCGGCUUUCUGGUCUGUAACUGACACUGAGGCUCGAAAGCGUGGGGAGCGAACAGGAUUAGAUACCCUGGUAGUCCACGCCGUAAACGAUGAGUGCUAAGUGUUGGAGGGUUUCCACCCUUCAGUGCUGGCGUUAACGCAAUAAGCACUCCGCCUGGGGAGUACGACCGCAAGGUUGAAACUCAAAGGAAUUGACGGGGACCCGCACAAGCGGUGGAGCAUGUGGUUUAAUUCGAAGCAACGCGAAGAACCUUACCAGGUCUUGACAUCUCUUGCAUAUCUUAGAGAUAAGAGAAACCCUACGGGGCAAGAAGACAGGUGGUGCAUGGUUGUCGUCAGCUCGUGUCGUGAGAUGUUGGGUUAAGUCCCGCAACGAGCGCAACCCUUAUAACUAGUUGCCAGCAUUGAGAUGGGGACUCUAGUUAGACUGCCGGUGACAAACCGGAGGAAGGUGGGGAUGACGUCAAAUCAUCAUGCCCCUUAUGACCUGGGCUACACACGUGCUACAAUGGAUGGUACAACGAGUCGCUAACUCGCAAGAGCAUGCCAAUCUCUAAAAGCCAUUCUCAGUUCGGAUUGUAGUCUGCAACUCGACUACAUGAAGCCGGAAUCGCUAGUAAUCGCGGAUCAGCACGCCGCGGUGAAUACGUUCCCGGGUCUUGUACACACCGCCCGUCACACCACGAGAGUUUGUAACACCCGAAGCCGGUGGCCUAACCAAUAGGAGGGAGCCGUCGAAGGUGGGAUGGAUGAUUGGGGUGAAGUCGUAACAAGGUAGCCGUAUCGGAAGGUGCGGCUGGAUCACCUCCUUUCUAAGGA